GCCGGUGCGAAUCCGGCGCUGACCCGCAACCGUGACCCGGUCCGUCCCGGACCGGCCAGCCGGA
rnacentral:tRNA from 18 species